rnacentral:tRNA from 1 species
GCCUGGCUGGCUCAGUUGGUAGAGCAUGUGACUCUUGAUUUCGGGGUUGUGAGUUCAAGCCCCAUGUUGAGUG